GUGCCAGCAGCCGCGGUAAUACGAAGGGUGCAAACGUUGCUCGGAAUCAUUGGGCGUAAAGCGCACGUAGGCGGCUUUGCAAGUCGGAUGUGAAAUCCCGUGGCUCAACCAUGGACGUGCAUUCGAAACUGCAAAGCUUGAGUAUGGAAGAGGGUCGCGGAAUUCCCGGUGUAGAGGUGAAAUUCGUAGAUAUCGGGAGGAACACCAGUGGCGAAGGCGGCGACCUGGGCCAAUACUGACGCUGAGGUGCGAAAGCGUGGGGAGCAAACAGGAUUAGAUACCCCUGUAGUCC
rnacentral:rRNA from 1 species